UGUUGGGGGCGGGCAGAGGCGUCGGCGCUGCCCCGGCGAGGGGCCGAGCCGGCGGGGCGCGCAGAAGCCGGCCCGAGCCCGGGCCCGAGCGCGGCUCCGCUCGGCUCCUGUGCGGCUCCCGGCGGGCCCUUCAGCCCCGGCCGGCCCCGGCGCGGCAGGGCACGAUGGCGCCCGGGCUGGGGCCGUGGCUCCUGGCCUUGUCCUUGGCCGCGGGGCCGGCAGGGCUGUGGGCGCAGCUGAGGCUGCUGGAGGACGGCGGAGGGCUGCGAGCGCCCGGGGAGACCGUGCGCCUCUCCUGCCGCGGAUCCGGCUUCAGCUUCGGAGGUUACGCAAUUAGGUGGUACCGUCAGGCAGCCGGCGGCAGUCUCGAGUGGGUGUCCUACAUCAGCGGCUCCUCGGGUUCUAAGGAGUACGGGGCAGGAGUGCAGGGUCGAGCUACAGUGUCCCGGGACAAUUCCCGGUCCGAGUCGAUUCUGUCCCUGCGGGACCUGCAGCCCCGGGACUCUGCCCGCUACUUCUGCGCUGUUCACACGGGGACAGGAAAUCCAGCUGAGCUUUAACACAAACCUGCUGGGGCCCGGCCCAGGGUGCACAAUAUUUGGAGCCAGCGAGUGCUGAGGUGGCUCAGGGCUGUUCCCAGGAAGAGAUUGUCUAUCAGUGCACAGUGCAGGUGGUCCUGGCUUUCGGGAAGAGCUCCUUUCCCAGCACUGCCAAUUUCCGUCUCCUGAGUCCCAAAGGCAGUGUUUUAUUCUGAGAAGGUGGUUCAAUGUGUUUCCAUCACCCAGCCAGGACGGCUGCUCUGCCUGCCUGCAGCCCCUCUCUGCCCUCCCUUGGCCCCUUCUUCCCUGGGGUACCCAAAGCACUGGGGCUUUGGCAACACCAUUGCCUGGCAAUGCCAUUGCCUGCUUCCAUUGACCCUUUUGUGGGCCAUUGCCUUGCACCAGUGAGAGUAAAGCAGUCAUGGAACA